rnacentral:lncRNA from 1 species
GCGUGAGUUUCGCUCUGUUUUAUGUGUGCUUCCCAGUCCUGUGGUGCUGCUAUACCGGGGACGUUGAGUCCCCACAGACCUGGAAAUUGCGGCCCCUCUUUCUCAACCCAGAGCAAAUUGAGACGUCCGGGCUGGAGGGCAGUUGUGCGAUCUUGAUUCACUUCAACCUCUGCUCUCCGGGCUCAAGCAAUUCUCCCACCUCAGCCUGGCUGGAGUGCACUGGUGCCAUCUCAGCUCACUGCAACUUCUGACUCCCGAGUUCAAGUGAUUCUUUUGCCUCAGUCUCCCAAGUAGCUGGGACAACAGGGGCGUGCCGAGAAGCCCAGCUAAUUUUGUACUUGUAGUAGAGAGCGGGUUUCACCACGCUGGCCAAAAUUGUCUCAACCUCUUGAUCUCAUGAUCCACCGCCUCACCCUCCCAAAGUGCUGGGAUUACAGGCAUGAGAGUCUCACUCUGUCCUUCAGGCUGUGAGUGCAGUCUCCUGAUCUUGGCUCACUGCAACCUCUGUCUCCUGGGUUCAAGUGAUUCUUGUGCCUCAGCCUACCAAGUAGCUGAGAUACAGGAUUGACUUCUAAAGACUCU